CUCUCCGGCGCGCAGGAUACACCAGGUAGUUGGGAAGAGAGCGGAGACAAGUGUGGGAAGCCGUGGAGGACUUAAGCUUUUCCCUGGGUUUUCCAGCUGAGUCGCACCUCCAAGAUGAUGAGUUACUACAUGGACACGACCAUCGGCAGUGCAGCCCCUUAUCCUUUGGCUCGGCCUGGAGUGAUGAAGGCGGGAGCCGCCGGUGCCUGCGAGGAUCCCUGGGUGAGCUGUGGCUUCCAGGCCUCCUGCUGCCCCCCCCGGCCCUGCUGCCCGCUGUGGGACGAGCCCAGCACGCAGGA